AUGCUACUCACGCAUCUGUUGUUCCUGCGUGCGCGGGGGCGCGGAGGUUGGCGACUGGGCACGGGAGGCGGCUCGGCACGACGAGGCGAGGCCGGGCCGGACUCGCGAGCACCAGGCAGGCGCAGCUGCCACCUGCGUCGACCAGGAGCACACGCCCGCGGAGGGAUGCUGUGGCGUGGCACUAUUCGUCGUGGAGCUCGUGAGGGACUCCUUGUCAUGGGCGGGCGCUGCCUGUCACGGCGCUCGCGAGGUCCAUUUUGGGAUCCAUGGAGUCUAGAGCGCGGCGGCAGAACUGCGCGACGGCCGUCGCGGUGGGCGAGCGCGGCGGCGGCGACUGCAACUGUUGUUGCGGUGAUUGGCUGCUGUUUGUUCCUGCUUGCGCGGCAGCGGUGA
rnacentral:rRNA from 1 species